ensembl:lncRNA
AGUCCAGUGUGGUAAUAGUCUGAUUGUUUUAAUGUUUGGAUUAUAUUACUAGAUGCUGAGAAUUCCUAAGUGGAAGGAGCUCUGGAGUAGGGCCUGUGGCUUCACUUCCGACUUGCCCCCAGUCAACUGUGUGACCCUGGGUAAGUCAUUCCAACUGUCUGGGCUUCAAAAUGCCCGUCUAUAGACUGAAAGGAAUUGACCUGGCUGCUCUAACAUUCUGUUCUUAUGUCUGUUAAGAAACCAAAAAUACUUUUGUCACGUGGCUUUCCUAUGUCUCUUAUUGAAAGAGAAAGGGGUUUACCAAGGCCUCCUUUCCCAAUUUUCUUUUACUCUAUUACAACAAGGAGGUAAGCUCUCUAAAACCCUAUUCUCUGAAGUGUUUUAGGGGAGUUGGUGUAAAAAAUGAGUCCCUUUUGGUAUUUUUAUUAUUUAGAUGACAGGAUGGCAUAGACUUAUGCAUUUCUUCUCUAGGAGAUCGGCCCCUCUCCUUUCUUUCCCCUCUGUGGGGGCAGCAGACCCAAAUACUUCAUAUUUCUUUUCUCCCAUCAUUUCCUUCAGAGCUGUGUUUUCUAUUGGCACUGUUUCCCAGCCUCUCUUUGGAAUUGAUCUGAAAUGAUAGGAGCUCUUCCAAGCUUAGUCUGCAGACCCAACCAUUUGACAGCAUAGGGUAGGUGUGAAGCAGUGUAUCCUUGAAUUAGAUUCAAGCUGAUAUGUAAAGAGCCAAGGUACUUUUCGCCAUGUGACAGUUGGAGGAACCAAAACAAAGAAAGGGAGAGUGACUUACCUGAUGUGCUGAAUAAAGACCAGGUAUGAUAGGAAUGAAAGCUUUCCAUUUUACUGCCCUCUAUACUAACCAUGUGACAAUGGUGCGCAUCUCUUGUGCAGGGAGGGGAGUGAGGCUUAGGCUUCACUCCCAGAUGGGUUUGGAAGCCAACAAGAAGAGAAGCCUUUUGCUCUCCACAGGAAAUCAGCAUUUACCACCACUUGCUUCCAACAAGAAACAUUAAACAAUUUUCCACAUUUCCUCUAAAUGAAUGGGAUGCCGCAGGAAAACCCUAAAGGGAAGUGUUUGAGAAAUCGUGGCAGAGGAAUUUGACUAGGAGGAGAAUGAGCCAGUUCGCUGUGUUUGCUUAUUAAUAGGUUCUGUGUCGCCAGCUCCAGGGGGAACAGGCUCCUGAAAUAGCUGGCGGGGAAAUGCAUUCAAGGGCUCGGCUUGAUGGAAAUAGGGAAUAACGGGAAGGGAAGGGAAGGGCAGAAACUUCAAGAAAGAUUGGAGAGCUUGUCCUCGGGAAUGAAAACAAGCGGCUGCUAAUUUGACUGUGACAUUUCUGCCAAGGCUGUGAGGGCUGAGCACUGGGCUGAGUCACCCAGGAAGUUGGAGCCUUGCUUCUCAUGUGCCUCAUUUGCCACUUCCACAUAGUGUAUGUUUCGUCUCAUUUUUUGAGAUUAAGGCUGCAUUUAAAAUCUUGCCUGUUUCAAAAGACAGUCUGCUGAGGCCAGGGUGUGUCUACAGUCCCAUUUGGUUGUUGACACUCAUAGUGGGAAGGAUGCAACACCUUCCUGCAGGAAUGUUCAUCUGGUUCAAAUGCUUAUUUCUGCCUGAGCCUGGCCUUGCGCUGUGCUGGGGCUAGGAAGCCAAUUGAGUGGUGCACUCUAAUCUCAAAGAGGCUUGUGGGAAAGACAUGAAACAAGCACACAGUCACAAUAGAAAGUGAUACAGCAUCAGGGUACAGAUUUGUAUAAGGAAGGGAUGCCUAUACCAGGCUGGGGAGGAUGGAGAGGCCAGGCCAUAGAAAAGUGGAAGAGGCGUUUGGAGGAGAAUUAGAAGUUAGUUGGCUGGGUUUUCAUUCCUAAUAAAAUGUCUGUAUUUUAAGUACUCUGGGACCCACUGGCAUUGUCUACUAAUUCUUUUCUGUAUUAUGUGCAUCUGCCUUUCUUCAGAGGGUACUCAACUUUCAUCAGAUUCCUAGGCACCUAAGACCAUCUCUUUCUCCAGUGCAUUAGUUAAAUUAACUGCACAGUACCUUUGAGAAUUAUGUUCAACUAAUAGACAUUCGAUUUCACCAUGAAUAUUUAUGUAUUUAUGUAUAUUUGUGCAUGUUUGUUAGGGACUGUAGCAAAUAUCAGUGUGCAUGAGUCUUGUACACACACAUGAGUAUUUUCCUAGAGUCUUUUCUCAGAAGAGGGUUAUUGCUUCAUCCAAGAAUGGGAAUGUUUGAAAAACUUUUGCUACAUACUGUCAAAAUUCCCUCUUCAGGAGUUCCUGCUGUGGCACAGUGUGUUAAGGAUCUGGUGUUACUAUAGCUGUGGCGUGGAUCACAGCUGAUUCAGUCCCUGGCCCAGGAACAUCCAUAUGUCGCGGGUGCAUCCCCCAAACCAAAAAGAUUCCUUCUUCAAAUUUGCACAGACUUAACAUGUUUAUCAGCAGAAGGGGGAAGGGCCAUUUUCCUGAACUUCUGCUAAUGCUAUUUUCAUUGCGUUUUAUUCUUUGUCUUUUGGUCUUUUGGGGGCCCUACCAGUGGCAUAUGGAAGUUCCCAGGCUAGAGGUUGAAUCAGAGCUGCAGCUGUGAUGCCACACCACAGUCAAAGCAACACCAGAUCUGAGCUGCAUCUGAGACCUCCGUCACAUCUUGGCCAGGCCCGGAAUCCAAACCAACUCCUCAAGGAUACUAGUCGGGUUCUUAACCCACUGAGCCACAAGGGGAACUCCCUAUCAUUUUACUAUUGACCUGUAAACAUUCUUUAUAUAUUUUGGAUACAAGGCUCAUAUCAGAUAUAUGAUUUGCAUAUAUUUUUUCCUGUUCUCUGGCUUGUCUUUUGCUCUCUUGGAUGGUAUCAUCUGUAGCUCAAACAUUUUUAAUUUUGGUGAUGUCCAAUUGACCUAGUUUUCUUUUGUCACUUGUAUUUUUGGUAUCAUUUCUAAGGAAGACUUUCCCUAACCCAAGUUCACCAAGAUUCUUUUCUGUGUUUUUUUCUGAAUUUCAUUGUUGCAGUCCUUACAUUUAUACCUAUCAUAAGUUUUUGGGUUGAUUUUUGUGUAUGGUCUAAGGAAGGGAUCCAGGCUCACUCGUUUCCAUGUAGAUCUUCACUUGUACCAGCACCCAUCCUUCACUUUGUAACAUGCAUAUUUGACUUAAGAAAAUCUGAGGUUUAUCAUUAUCCCUCUUCAUCAGGGCUCAUACUGCUCUCAUCCUGAUUGUUCCUCCCUCUUCCAUGGUACUGAGACCAAGGUGGUGUUUUGUAUCCACCUUGUUUUUAAAACUCCAAGAAUUCCUAGUAUUUAGGCUUAUUUAGUGUCCUUGCUCACUGUCCACUUCUUCCUUCCUGGUUCUUCUUUCUUAACCAAAGUACAUCCGUCGGUGGCUAUGAACAGCCUAGGUGAGUCAUUAUCUAAAAAUGUCUGAGUAGUUGGCCCUUACUCAAUGUGAAAAUUUAAUUGGGUAUCUCACUUGGAGGAUACCUCAUUGUCAUCUGGCUUCUAGCAUUGCUGCUGAAAGCUGAACAUAGGAAACCUAUCUUUUCUUUUUAUAGGGCUUUUUCAAAAGAUUUUGUUAUUUUCCUUUUUUUUCAACUUGCGUUUUCACUGUGAAGUAUUUCAGUAUGGAUUUCUUUUCAUUUGUCCUGCUUAAGGAGCCAUUGUUUUGUGAAAAUAUGAACACUUAGAAGAAACCUUCUCCAAGUUCACCUCCACCUGCUUACCUGCGUCUUUGUCCAUGCAUACACUACCUUCUCUUUUGUUACUUUGGAAGAACUGGCUCAGGGCCACUCCUCCACUUACACACUCAGUGCCCUCUCUUCUUGUCCGCUCAGUGACACCAUUCCAGGAAUGCCACCCCCUCUCUCCUACAUAUCCGUUUCCGUCUCUCUACUGGACUGUUCUAUCAGCACACCAAUAUGAUUUUAUUCAUCCCAUCUUAAAAAUAAACUUUCUUGAUUUUUCUUCCCCUCUGGCUGGCAUCCCAUUCUGUUUUUACCCGUCCUAGUAAGACUCCUCAAAAGAUUUGUCUGCGUUUGCUGACUUCAGUUACUCUUUUCCCAUUUCUCCUCGUGCACAUUCUGAUCAGGAGGUCGCAAACGACUCCACGCUGUUAAACGAAAUGGCCAUGUCUCUGUUCCCAGCUGAUUGUGAUCAGCAGCCAUGCUCCACCAGGCUUUCAGGCCACCGCACUCUCCUAGCUUUCCUCCUACAUCACGGAUUGCCCUUCCUGCAUCUUGUUGUUGGCUCCUCUCUGUCACCGUCAUGCUCUAACUGUGGAGUGUUCCCAAUUCAGUACAUGGACAUCUUCUCUUUCCUCUUUGCACUCACUCCCUUAGUGCUCUCAUGCUCUCAUCCAUACUGAGGGUCUUAAAAAUCCUCUGUAGCAAGGUCUGCAGACUUGCAGUCAGGAGCCAAAUCCAGCUUGCUGCCACGAGCUAAAGAUGCCUUUUACACAAGAGUAUGCAAGGGAGGUCACAUGUGGCCUGCCAAGCCAACGAUAUUUACUACCAAGCCUUGUAGAGCAAAAGUUUGUCAUCCCUUGAUCUAGAGUGUGGUGAUGACUUCCAAAUUUAUAUCUGUGGUCUAAACCUCUCUCCUGACUUCCAGAUGAGUUUAUUCAACCACUCACCGGAGAGCUCCAUGUGAAUGUCUUAAACGUACCUCAGGAUGGACUUGGAGCUAUUGCGUUCCGCCCAUCUCUUCAUGCUGCAGGGUUCUUUCUCAUGGUCAAUAGCCACACCAUCCCUCCCACUGUCCAGGCCAAAACCCUGAGAAUCUUUUUCAUUGGCGCCCCAUGUCCAGUCCUAUAUAAAAUGUAUUCAUAUUCCAGUCACUUUAACUGUCUUUCAUCCCAACCCCAUUCUCUUUCAUUUGGGCAUCACUGCUGUCUCCUCACUGGUCUCCUUGCUCCCCCUCAGCACAUUCGCUGCGCACUCGUUGGAAGCCAGAUUGUGUUAUUUCUUUGCUCCAAGCCCUCCAGUGGCUUUCUCUCUCUCUCCAAGUGAAGACCAAGCCCCACGGUGACCUCUAGGUCCCCCACAGUCUGGCCUCGAUUACCUUCCUCACCCUCUUCUCCUACCCCCUCAUGACAGUCACGGUGGCCACCUUGCUCCUCCUCAAGCACAUCAGGCCUGCUCCGGACUUAGAGCCAUCGCUUUUGCUGGUGCUCUGCCUGAAACACUCUUCCCGAAGAUAUCUGCACGGUCCCCUCCCUGACACCUUUAGGUCUUCAUCACAUAUUACAUCUUUUUUGCACCUUCCCUAACCUGUCUAUUUAAAAUUGCAGCCUUGGAGAUCCUGUCAUGGCGCAGUGGAAAUGAAUCUGACUAGGAACCAUGAGGUUGUGGGUUCGAUCCCUGGCCUUGCUCAGUGGGUUUAGGAUCUGGCAUUGCUGUGAGCUGUGGUGUAGGUUGCAGAUGCGGCUCAGAUCCUGUGUUGCUGUGGUUGUGGUGUAGGCUGGCAGCUACAGCUCUGAUUCGACCCCUAGCCUGGGAACCUCCAUAUGCCAUGGAUGUGGCCUAAAAAGACAAAAGACAAAAAAAAAAAAAAAAAAAAAAA